AUUGAACGCUGGCGGCAGGCUUAACACAUGCAAGUCGAACGAGUGGCGGACGGGUGAGUAAUGCUUGGGAAUCUAGCUUAUUGAGGGGGAUAACUACGGGGAACUGUAGCUAAUACCGCGUACCAUAGGCUGAGCCCAGUUGGGAUUAGGUAGUUGGGGAGGUAAAGGCUCACCAAGCCGCCGAUGUCUAGCUGGUCUGAGAGGAGGACCAGCCACACUGGGACUGGGACACGGCCCGGACGCCUACGGGAGGCAGCAGUGGGGAAUAUUGCGCAAUGGGGGCAACCUGACGCAGCCAUGCCGCGUGGAUGAAGAAGGCCUUCGGGUGGUAAAGUGCUUUCGUUAGGGAGGCGUUAACUACAGAAGAAGCACCGGCUAACUCCGUGCCAGCCGCCGCGGUAAUUC
rnacentral:rRNA from 1 species